UUCUUUGAAGCAAAAACUCUACAGGUUUGAUACCCUGUAUCUAUUCUUCUUUUUUGUAUAUUAGUGGAAUUUCAGUGCAUUGGGUUCUUUCUUAGAUCUAGAUGGAAUGAAAUAGUGAAAUAGAAUAAAAAAAAGCCCUUUCGGGUGAAAAUGGAAGAGAAGAAUAGUAUGCAAUAUAUCUAACUUCGACAAAAGAAAUUUAAAAUAAUUUUAUCUUAUCCUCGUUUGUUCCUUCCUUUAGAUAAAUACUUAAAAAUCCCCUUACAAUAACAAAUCCAAUUUCGAAGGGACUUCCUCCCCAUGUUGAGAAAACUUUUCUUCUUCCAAUUUAUCUUUUCUUCA
rnacentral:lncRNA from 1 species